CAAUAGCGUAUAUUUAAGUUGUUGCAGUUAAAAAGCUCGUAGUUGGAUUUCGGAUGGGAUUUGCCGGUCCGUCGUUACGAUGUGCACUGGCCAGUCCUAUCUUGUUGUCGGGGACUAGCUCCUUGGAUUCACUUCCUGGGACUAGGAGCUGACGAGGUUACUUUGAGUAAAUUAGAGUGUUCAGAGCAAGCCUACGCUCUGAAUACAUUAGCAUGGAAUAACACGAUAGGACUCUGGCUUAUCUUGUUGGUCUGUGGGACCAGAGUAAUGAUUAAGAGGGACAGUCGGGGACAUUCGUAUUUCAUUGUCAGAGGUGAAAUUCUUGGAUUUAUGAAAGACGAACUUCUGCGAAAGCAUUUGUCAAGGAUGUUUUCAUUAA
rnacentral:rRNA from 1 species